AUAUUUAUAGCCUUAUGGUUGCACAACAAACUAUAAUAUUUUAGUUAAAUUAGACCCAUCAUUUCCAUAUAGUCAUAUCUGAAUGAUACUGCCCUUGUGGUUGCACAACAAAGUAAUAUAUCUAAAAUGCUGUAAGCAUCAAAUAUGCACUAAGACAAUCCACAUCAAUCUCCAUAAUAAGCCUUGUCGUUGCAUAACAAACACUUUAUAAUUCUUGACAUGACAUUGGC
rnacentral:lncRNA from 1 species